AUUGAACGCUGGCGGCAGGCCUAACACAUGCAAGUCGAACGAGCGGCGGACGGGUGAGUAAUGUCUGGGAAACUGCCUGAUGGAGGGGGAUAACUACUGGAAACAGUAGCUAAUACCGCAUACGCUAAGAUAUGCCCCGAUGGGAUUAGCUCGUAGGUGGGGUAACGGCUCACCGAGACGCCGAUCCCUAGCUGUUCUGAGAGGAUGACCAGCCACACUGGAACUGAGACACGGUCCAGACUCCUACGGGAGGCAGCAGUGGGGAAUAUUGCACAAUGGGCGCAAGCCUGAUGCAGCCAUGCCGCGUGUGUGAAGAAGGCCUUCGGGUUGUAAAGCACUUUCAGCGGGGAGGCGUUACCCGCAGAAGAAGCACCGGCUAACUCCGUGCCAGCAGCCGCGGUAAUAC
rnacentral:rRNA from 1 species